rnacentral:rRNA from 1 species
AUUGAACGCUGGCGGAAUGCUUUACACAUGCAAGUCGAACGGCAGCACGGGGGCAACCCUGGUGGCGAGUGGCGGACGGGUGAGUAAUACAUCGGAACGUGCCCAGCCGUGGGGGAUAACGUAGUGAAAAUUACGCUAAUACCGCAUACGAUCUAUGGAUGAAAGCGGGGGAUCGCAAGACCUCGCGCGAUUGGAGCGGCCGAUAUCAGAUUAGGUAGUUGGUGGGGGAAAGGCCCACCAAGCCAACGAUCUGUAGCUGGUCUGAGAGGACGACCAGCCACACUGGAACUGAGACACGGUCCAGACUCCUACGGGAGGCAGCAGUGGGGAAUUUUGGACAAUGGGCGAAAGCCUGAUCCAGCCAUUCCGCGUGCAGGAUGAAGGCCCUCGGGUUGUAAACUGCUUUUGUACAGAACGAAAAGGUUUCUACUAAUACUAGGAGCUCAUGACGGUACUGUAAGAAUAAGCACCGGCUAACUACGUGCCAGCAGCCGCGGUAA